rnacentral:rRNA from 1 species
UACGUAGGGGGCAAGCGUUGUCCGGAAUCAUUGGGCGUAAAGCGCGUGUAGGCGGCUCGAUAAGUCUGCUGUGAAAGUCCAGGGCUCAACCCUGGGAUGCCGGUGGAUACUGUCGAGCUCGAGUCCGGAAGAGGCGAGUGGAAUUCCUGGUGUAGCGGUGAAAUGCGCAGAUAUCAGGAGGAACACCAAUGGCGAAGGCAGCUCGCUGGGACGGUCCUGACGCUGAGACGCGAAAGCGUGGGGAGCAAACAGG